GGGCGCGUAGCUCAAUGGCAGAGCAGUAGCCUUUUAAGCUAUUGGUUGAGAGUUCGAUCCUCUCCGCGCUCA
rnacentral:tRNA from 3 species